rnacentral:lncRNA from 1 species
AAGCGUUAGGAGUGGAGAGGCGGGGACCCGACGGACGGUUUUUCCUCCCGCUCCUAACGGAACUGCUUGGGCAGAGCUGGGAGGGGGAGCGCGCCCUUGCCCCGGAGGCGGGGCUUAGGAACGCGUAGUGCACCCUGGCGGCUAGGGUUUAGUAACUGUGGGCGCGCUGGGUAGGUGGAGCUGAGGGGAUAAGGCGGGACUAACGGCUUGGCGCGCUGGAGGAGGUAGUUUGUAGGGAGCGCUGCCUGAGGCCGGGAGAAAGCGAAUCUGGCGCCUUUCCUGGGAUUUCGGUGGCCCUUGAAGGUUCCCUUUCCAGCUCAUUGCCUAGAGGGCGUAGCAGUCGCUUUUGGAUCAUAAAUAUUCAUGCCCUUCGACUCAACCCUAUGUUGGCGGUGAUUCUGCAGGUUGAAAACUCGGAUCUUUCAGGCCAGUGGGCUCCCACCUGCGACCCUAGGUCAAAGGACGGUCAGCUCCACAGAGUGAAAAUGUAUCAGUCCGGAGAAUCCAGUUCUAGUGGGGUAUCGGAAAACCAAGCCUAGUGUUUGGAAGAACAUUUUUCACUGAAACUCCAAGCCACUCUCCUUAUUCAAUCAAGAAAUAUUUAUUGAAAAAAUAACUAGGUGCGACGGGUAAAACAGUGAGCCAGGCAGACACGGACACUGCCUUCCCCAAAGGUUAUCUCAAUUUCCAUCAGGCCUCAGCUGAAAGCUCAUCUGCCAAAACACAUCAGCACUCAUGUAAAAUAAAAGGAGUAGGGAGGUGACUUUGUACACAAUACUGUACAGUGUUUGGCUUCCAGUUUCCCUCUUGUGUGUAACUAUUCUAGCACUUUAGGUUUUCUGAAGCGUUCCUUUAGGACUUAAAGGACAUCAUUGAAAUGUUGCUUUCCAUAGUCUGCAGGAUCCAUUUGAAGCUCUCGUUCUUCAUCAUCU